rnacentral:rRNA from 1 species
UACGUAGGGGGCAAGCGUUAUCCGGAUUUACUGGGUGUAAAGGGCGUGUAGGCGGGAGAGCAAGUCAGACGUGAAAUUCCAGGGCUCAACCCUGGAACUGCGUUUGAAACUGUUCUUCUUGAGUGAUGGAGAGGCAGGCGGAAUUCCGUGUGUAGCGGUGAAAUGCAUAGAUAUCACACAGAACACCGAUUGCGAAGGCAUCUCACGAAUCCGCGAUUGACGCUGAUGCACGAAAGCGUGGGUAUCAAACAGG